UCCCUGGUGGCUCAGCUGGUACAGAACCCGCCUGUGAAGUGGGAGACCUGGGUUCGAUCCCUGGGUUGGGAA
rnacentral:tRNA from 1 species